AUGAGUUGAGUCUUGUUUCUCUUGUGAGAGAGUCGGCCAUAAGGCUUGGGCUAUUGGAGGGUUUGGCCUUCAAUAGAUUUCGGUCCUUAGAUCUUGUGUUCUAGGACUUGGGCUAGUGGUAGAUCCAUCAAUCUCCACUAGAUUGGGCUAGGAAGAUAUCUCUCAAUCUCCUGCUAGAUUUCUUUUGCUUUCUUUGUUCUUGUCAUUUGCUUUCAAUUUAGAGGAAUAUAAAU
rnacentral:lncRNA from 1 species